AUUGAACGCUAGCGGGAUGCUUUACACAUGCAAGUCGAACGGCAGCGCGGACUUCGGUCUGGCGGCGAGUGGCGAACGGGUGAGUAAUGUAUCGGAACGUGCCCAGUAGCGGGGGAUAACUACGCGAAAGCGUAGCUAAUACCGCAUGCGCCCUACGGGGGAAAGCAGGGGAUCGUAAGACCUUGCACUAUUGGAGCGGCCGAUAUCGGAUUAGCUAGUUGGUGAGGUAACGGCUCACCAAGGCGACGAUCCGUAGCUGGUUUGAGAGGACGACCAGCCACACUGGGACUGAGACACGGCCCAGACUCCUACGGGAGGCAGCGGUGGGGAAUUUUGGACAAUGGGGGCAACCCUGAUCCAGCGAUCCCGCGUGUGCGAUGAAGGCCUUCGGGUUGUAAAGCACUUUUGGCAGGAAAGAAACGUCGCGGGCUAAUACCCCGUGGAACUGACGGUACCUGCAGAAUAAGCACCGGCUAACUACGUG
rnacentral:rRNA from 1 species